CCUACGGGAGGCAGCAGUGAGGAAUAUUGGUCAAUGGCCGGAAGGCUGAACCAGCCAAGCCGCGUGAAGGACGAAGGUGCCAAGCAUUGUAAACUUCUUUUGUCAAGGGACAAAAUCAGGCUCGAGAGCCUGACCGAGGGUACUUGAAGAAAAAGCAUCGGCUAACUCCGUGCCAGCAGCCGCGGUAAUACGGAGGAUGCGAGCGUUAUCCGGAUUUAUUGGGUUUAAAGGGUGCGUAGGCGGACUGUUAAGUCAGCGGUAAAAGCCCGGGGCUCAACCCCGGCGAGCCGUUGAAACUGGCUGUCUUGAGAUGUCGAGAGGUAUGCGGAAUGCGCAGUGUAGCGGUGAAAUGCUUAGAUAUUGCGCAGAACACCGAUUGCGAAGGCAGCUUGCUAGGCCGGAUCUGACACUGAUGCACGAAAGCGAGGGGAUCGAACAGGAUUAGAUACCCGAGUAGUC
rnacentral:rRNA from 1 species